rnacentral:rRNA from 1 species
GAUGAACGCUGGCAGCGUGCCUAAUACAUGCAAGUCGAGCGAACAGACGAGGAGCUUGCUCCUCUGACGUUAGCGGCGGACGGGUGAGUAACACGUGGAUAACCUACCUAUAAGACUGGGAUAACUUCGGGAAACCGGAGCUAAUACCGGAUAAUAUAUUGAACCGCAUGGUUCAAUAGUGAAAGACGGUUUUGCUGUCACUUAUAGAUGGAUCCGCGCCGCAUUAGCUAGUUGGUAAGGUAACGGCUUACCAAGGCAACGAUGCGUAGCCGACCUGAGAGGGUGAUCGGCAACACUGGAACUGAGACACGGUCCAGACUCCUACGGGAGGCAGCAGUAGGGAAUCUUCCGCAAUGGGCGAAAGCCUGACGGAGCAACGCCGCGUGAGUGAUGAAGGUCUUCGGAUCGUAAAACUCUGUUAUUAGGGAAGAACAAAUGUGUAAGUAACUAUGCACGUCUUGACGGUACCUAAUCAGAAAGCCACGGCUAACUACGUG